GUCGAAGUGGUGGAAUUGGCAUACACAACAGACUUAAAAUCUGUCGCCCAUUACGGGCUUGCGGGUUCGAGUCCCGCCUUCGACA
rnacentral:tRNA from 1 species